rnacentral:rRNA from 1 species
GACGUAGGGCGCGAGCGUUGUCCGGAUUUAUUGGGCGUAAAGAGCUCGUAGGCGGUUUGUCGCGUCUGCCGUGAAAGUCCGGGGCUCAACUCCGGAUCUGCGGUGGGUACGGGCAGACUAGAGUGAUGUAGGGGAGACUGGAAUUCCUGGUGUAGCGGUGGAAUGCGCAGAUAUCAGGAGGAACACCGAUGGCGAAGGCAGGUCACUGGGCCGCAACUGACGCUGAGGAGCGAAAGCAUGGGGAGCGAACAGG